rnacentral:rRNA from 1 species
AUUGAACGCUGGCGGCAGGCCUAACACAUGCAAGUCGAACGAGUGGCGGACGGGUGAGUAAUGUCUGGGAAACUGCCCGAUGGAGGGGGAUAACUACUGGAAACGGUAGCUAAUACCGCAUCCCAUCGGAUGUGCCCAGAUGGGAUUAGCUAGUAGGUGGGGUAACGGCUCACCUAGGCGACGAUCCAUAGCUGGUCUGAGAGGAUGACCAGCCACACGGGAACUGAGACAUGGUCCAGACUCCUAAGGGAGGUAGCAGUGGGGAAUAUUGUACAAUGGGCGCAAGCCUGAUGCAGCCAUGCCGGGGGUAGGAAGAAGGUCGUCGGGGUGUAAAGUACUUUCAGCGAGGAGGCGGUACUCGCAGAAGAAGCACCGGCUAACUCCGGGGCAGCAGCCGCGGUAAUUC